UACGUAGGUGGCAAGCGUUACUCGGAAUCACUAGGCGUAAAGCGCGGGUAGGCGGUUUGGUAAGUCUGUUGUGAAAGCUCCUGGCUCAACUGGGAGAGGUCAACAGAAACUACCAGGCUUGAGUGUGGUAGAGGAAGCUGGAAUUCCCGGUGUAGCGGUGAAAUGCGUAGAGAUGCGGAGGAACACCGAUGGCGAAGGCAGCCCCCCUGGGCUAACACUGACGCUCAGGCACGAAAGCGUGGGGAGCAAACAGG
rnacentral:rRNA from 1 species